UACAGGGGGAGCAAGCGUUGUUCGGAUUUACUGGGCGUAAAGGGCGCGUAGGCGGCCACCGCAAGUCAGUUGUGAAAUCUCUGGGCUUAACCCAGAACGGUCAGCUGAUACUGCGGGGCUAGAGUGCAGAAGGGGCAACUGGAAUUCUCGGUGUAGCGGUGAAAUGCGUAGAUAUCGAGAGGAACACCUGCGGCGAAGGCGGGUUGCUGGGCUGACACUGACGCUGACAGCGCGAAAGCUAGGGGAGCGAACGGG
rnacentral:rRNA from 1 species